rnacentral:rRNA from 1 species
GACAGCAGCCGCCGCGGUAAUACGAAGGGUGCAAGCGUUAAUCGGAAUUACUGGGCGUAAAGCGUGCGUAGGCGGUUUGUUAAGUCUGUUGUGAAAUCCCCGGGCUCAACCUGGGAAUGGCAAUGGAUACUGGCAAGCUAGAGUGUGUCAGAGGAUGGUGGAAUUCCCGGUGUAGCGGUGAAAUGCGUAGAGAUCGGGAGGAACAUCAGUGGCGAAGGCGGCCAUCUGGGACAACACUGACGCUUAGGUACGAAAGCAUGGGGAGCAAACAGGAUUAGAGACCCGCGUAGUCCCUGUCUCUUAUAA